UACGUAGGGGGCGAGCGUUGUCCGGAAUUACUGGGCGUAAAGGGAGCGUAGGCGGUCCUUUAAGUUGGAUGUGAAAGCCCCGGGCUUAACUUGGGAAGUGCAUCCAAUACUGGAGGACUUGGAGUACAGGAGAGGGAAGCGGAAUUCCUAGUGUAGCGGUGAAAUGCGUAGAUAUUAGGAGGAACACCAGUGGCGAAGGCGGCUUUCUGGACUGACACUGACGCUGAGGCUCGAAAGCGUGGGGAGCAAACAGG
rnacentral:rRNA from 1 species